GUUCUACAAGGAUUUCGUUUUUAUUCUGUUCUACACGUAUUAUUCUCUGCAUCUACUUUUUUAAAUAUCCACUUUUUAUUUUAUCUGGGGGAGGGAGUUGAAUUCACAAUUUUUUUUUAAAUUUUUCUUUCAAACUAAUUAAACUAAUCUUAUAACUCUCCAAUAUCAGAAAGUUGAAGAUUGAAUCUAGAAUUUUCUCUUAUUGUGCAUUUGAAUAUUGUUCAUUAAAUUGACCGAAACUGACCGUUUGCACUGAAUUGUAAUAACAUUGAUUGCAGCAUUUUUUAAAUCAGCUAUUGUCUCUUUCUCACUGAAUUUAAGUAUUUGAAGCAGACAACAAUUGACACAACAGUGUGGUGAAGGAAAACACAAACCUCGAAGCAAGAAAUGGAGGAGAGGAUAAACUAUGUGGCUCACUGUCUUGUUCUACCUUAUCCUGCACAAGGACACAUAAAUCCUAUGCUUGAGUUUUCAAAACGUUUGAUUCAGAGAGGAGUGAAGGUCACACUGGUAACUUUUGUGUCCAACUGGAAGGUCGUUAGCAGAAAAAAUUUCACUUCUAUAGAAGUUGAGAGCAUAUCAGAUGGCUACGAUGAAGGAGGCCGUGCAGCAGCAGAGAGCCUUGAGGUUUAUCUUGAAAGCUUCUGCAGGGUUGGAGCACAAACUCUCGCUGAGCUUCUUCAGAAGCUUGCAGGAUCAAGCCACCCUCCAGAUUGUGUAAUCUAUGAUGGUUUCAUGCCUUGGGCUCUUGAUGUUGCAAAGAAAUUUGGGCUACUUGCUGCUGCUUUCUUCACUCAGAGUUGCACAACAAACACCAUAUACUUGCAUACUUAUAACAAGUUGCUGGAACUGCCUCUUACACAGACAGAGUAUUUGUUGCCAGGGUUGCCAAAACUUGAAGCUGAGGACUUGCCAUCAUUCUUGAACAGAUAUGGAACCUAUCCAGGUUAUUUUUAUGUUGUUGUGAACCAACUUUCCAAUAUUGACAAAGCAGAUUGGGUUCUUGCAAACACAUUUUAUGAUAUGGAGCGAGAGGUUGUGGAUUGGCUGUGCAAGAUUUGGCCAUUAAAGACAAUAGGACCAACCUUGCCAUCUAUGUACUUGGACAAAAGACUCCAAGAUGACGAGAAUUAUGGUAUUGAAAUGUAUGUUCCAAAGUCAGAAGCUUGCAUGAAAUGGCUUGAUGAUAAACCAAAAGGGUCAGUUGUGUAUGUUUCUUUUGGGAGCUUCGCAGGGCCGAAUGUGGAGCAAGCUGAGGAACUAGCUUGUGGUUUAAGAGAUAGUGGAAGUUAUUUCAUAUGGGUGAUUAGAGACUCUGAGCAAGGACAGCUUCCAAAGGGGUUUCUUGACACAGCAGAGAAAGGUUUAAUAGUCAAUUGGUGUCCCCAACUGCAAGUCUUGACACAUGAGGCUUUGGGGUGUUUUAUCACACACUGUGGUUGGAACUCCACAUUGGAAGCUUUGAGCUUAGGAGUUCCAGUGAUUGCAAUGCCACUGUGGACUGAUCAGAUCACAAAUGCAAAACUUAUUAAAGAUGUGUGGAAAAUUGGAGUCAAAGCUGUUGCUGAUGAGAAAGAUAUAGUUAGAAAAGAAACUAUCACACAUUGCAUAAAAGAAAUAUUGGAGACUGAAAAAGGAAAUGAAAUAAAGAAAAAUUCCAUCAAGUGGAAGAAUCUGGCCAAGAGUAGUGUUGAUGAGGGAGGAAGUUCCGAUAAAAAUACUGCAGAAUUUGUGAAUGAAUUGGUUCAUCGCCGUGCUGCAUUAAAUUAAUGGGAAAGGAAGUGCUCAUAGAAGUUUUGUGCCACAGCCAAAGUAUGCUAUGCUGAUUCUGCUUAGAAUAAUCAACUUGACAAGGAAGCACAGGCAUGGGGAUGGAUGAUGGUGAUGGUUUAAAAUUCUCACUGUACUCAAGAAUAGCUGUUGUUGGGGAAUUGUCAUACAUAUCGACGCCAUCAUAGAAAGGACUAGCAGCAAUGUAAUAGAGACCCUUUGGCUGGUUUGCUGAGACCAACACAUCCAUUGUUUGCCCUGGGGUUAUCAUGAUGAAACUGGUGUUUAAGGGCUUUGUGUAGGAACCAUCAAUGCCUACAAGUAUAAGGCUGUGAUUAGCAACCCCAAAGAACAUCUCUUCGUUCAUUGCUGAAUUUAUUAUUCGGAAAAGAUAUGUCUUUCCAUGAUCAACUAAAAAGCGACGAGUGUUCUCUGCAAAACAAAGCAAUGUUGAUGAACAAAGUGGUGAAACAUGAUACCAAAGACAAGAAUUACUUGCAGUUUUACAAUCUAUAAUACAGGUGCAUCUCUAAGAUAUGUAGCACAGACACUCAUACAAACACUGGACACUAACACGGAUACAAACACUUCGACACUUAUGGUUUCCAGAAUGUAAGACAUGGGGACACGAAUCUAUAUGGGUAUUCAAAAAAUUUUUGUAUCUAUUCUUAUUAACAUUGUGUUAGUAACAUGUCAAAAUUUUGUCAGAGCACAAAAGUCUCAUCCCACUACCUAGUUGAAGUUACAUGAAUCAUGCAGUGGCAUUAGACUUGGUUAAAAAUCAAAAUUUUGUCAGAGCACAAAAGUCUCAUCCCUUUUAACAAUACAAUCUUAUUCUUCUCACUAAUGUUUCCAACAAACCUUUUUUCCAUGUGGGUUUGUGCAUUCUCUAUAUUUCAAGUCCAAAAUGGGAUUUUGUGUAAGGGAAAGUAUUAGGGAUAUUGAAAUAUCAUUCAUGUAUCUACAGUUAAUAGCUUAAGCUUUUAGGAUAGAUUUUCAAGACAUUAAUAUACUUUUUGAGCAAUUGUAGAAGUCACCAGGUUGGCCAUUGAUUGUGUAAGCAUCUGAUGCAUUGGGCUCUGCACCAGUUGCCCUGGCCUCAUUUACAAUUUGCAUCACAUCUCCCUUGUACCACUCACCUGAAAGAUCACCAACAAGCAUAAUCAAGAGGUUGUGUGUGUGUGCUUGAAUAUAUACAGGAUUUGAAUGGAAUUUCCAUUGGACAGUUACCAACCAAUGAUAAGAAUGUUUUGUCCACAAGGUUCAGGGAAAGGAUAUGUUCCAUUUGCUGGUAAAAUGACAAUGGCACCAUGGACAGUGGCACGUGUCCAACUACUGUGUGCAUGCCACCAAAGAGUUCCUUCUUCCAAUGUAAAGGCCACCUUCUGAGUGAAACUUGUUCCUGGUGGGAUAGGGCACUGUGUUAUGUUCUCAGGUCCAUCUGACCAAGGAUCCCUUGGUUCCCUCACACCAUGCCUGUAAAAAAGGUUCCAACUUUUUCACCUUUUCCUACUUUUGGAGGCAUGUAGUUAUUAAUCAAAUUCAAUUCACACACCUCAAGUUAAGCCAUAGUAUCUGUUUUGUUACUGAUUAGUAUAUAAAAAAUCAAAAGCAUUUAUUCUCUAUAUGAGGAAAGAAAAGAGAGGAACAACUUUUUUCUUGGUUUAUGCUAAAGACUAAUUCCUUCGCUGUAGAAAUCAUUUGGGUGUCCUUAUAAAUUAUUUUCUAUGCAUAUGAUCAGGAAUUGAAUCCCUGAAAACAUGGUCAAGGAGCUUAACUACAUAUCACUUGUGCUGAACAUAAUUUGGCUGUGUCAAUGAAAAUUUAUGCUAUAACUAAUGCAUGUGGUUGGGUUGUGCACAAACAUGAACAGAAGGAAGAAGCAAAAUGAUAAAAAGAGAGGCAAAAUGGGAGAUUUAACCAGUGAAUAGUGACCCCAUAUCUUCCUUGAUUAUGGACAGUGACAAAAGCUGUAUCUCCUUUGUGAACACGAAUGGUUGGUCCUGGAAAACUAUCAUUUACUGUCAGUAUGCUUUUUGUGCUGCACAAUCUCGUGAAAUUCUUUUCCUUCAG